CAUCUUUCUAUCUCCUCCACCUCUCUCUCUUUCAUAUUCUAUCAGUUCAAAGUCCCAUUUUGCACAAUCUACUCAUCAAAACAACAAAAACAAAACAGCGAUCUUGACCUAAAUUAAUCGAAAUCUGCAUGAAAAGGUCCACGUGCCUUAACCCCUUCUUUCACACCCUUGAAACCCAACAAUCACACUUGCGAAACUGCCAGUCUUUUCUCUUCUAUUGGCUUUUCGGGUUCUUCGGUUCUUCCCCAUUUCAAUGCCAAACCCUUACCAAAAUACAGAAACUCUAUUUCAUGAAUAAACAAAAUACCCAUCUAGUAAAUCCAAAUCCCGACAAAGAAAAUUUUAUAUUUGAAUAAGAUUUAGAUAUAUAGAGAGAGGGAGAAGGGACAGUGAGAAAGAGAUUCACCAAAAGCCACUCCGCACAUAGCUUCAGCUCUUUCAGGACUCUCUGCACCGACUCGGUUACUCUCUCCCAGUCUAUCUUCUUUUUAUUUAUUUAUUUAUUAUUUAUCUUUGUUUCUUGGGUAAGGUCUGACUCAGGAUCUCUAUUCUUAGCAUUAUGAUUGAUCUUCUAUAGAGAUUACUAAGA
rnacentral:misc_RNA from 1 species